rnacentral:rRNA from 1 species
AAGAGCUCAAAUUUGAAAUCUGGCCCCUCCGGGGUCCGAGUUGUAAUUUGCAGAGGAUGCUUCGGGCGCGGUCCCCGUCUAAGUACCCUGGAACGGGUCGUCAUAGAGGGUGAGAAUCCCGUCUGGGACGGGUGGCCGUGUCCGUGUGAAGCUCCUUCGACGAGUCGAGUUGUUUGGGAAUGCAGCUCUAAAUGGGUGGUAAAUUUCAUCUAAAGCUAAAUAUUGGCCGGAGACCGAUAGCGCACAAGUAGAGUGAUCGAAAGAUGAAAAGCACUUUGAAAAGAGAGUUAAACAGCACGUGAAAUUGUUGAAAGGGAAGCGCUUGCGACCAGACUCGCCCGCGGGGGUUCAGCCGGUACUCGUACCGGUGUACCCCCCGGGGGCGGGCCAGCGUCGGUUUGGGCGGUCGGUCAAAGGCCCCGGAAUGUGUCGCCCCCCGGGGCGUCUUAUAGCCGGAGGUGCAAUGCGGCCAGCCUGGACCGAGGAACGC